rnacentral:rRNA from 1 species
UACAUGGGGUGCAAACGUUGCUCGGAAUUAUUGGGCCUAAAGCAUCCGUAGCCGGUUCUACAAGUCUUCCGUUAAAUCCAACUGCUUAACAGGUGGGCUGCGGAAGAUACUAUAGAGCUAGGAGGCGGGAGAGGCAAGCGGUACUCGAUGGGUAGGGGUAAAAUCCGUUGAUCCAUUGAAGACCACCAGUGGCGAAGGCGGCUUGCCAGAACGCGCUCGACGGUGAGGGAUGAAAGCUGGGGGAGCAAACCGG